UAAUGAUGGCAAUUUGAACCAAAAUAUCAAGGCAUUCAUGCUAGGCAGAUGAUCAUGUGCCAUUGGUGCUGCAAAAUAUAAACCAAGCUGGCGCCAUAACGAUGACAAGUUUAACCAAAAUAUCAAGGCAUUCAUGCUAGGCAGAUGAUCAUGUACCAUUGGUGCUGCAAAAUAUAAACCUAGCUGGAGACAUAACGAUGACAACUUUAACCAAAAUAUCACCACAUUCAUGCUAGGCAGUUGAUAAUCAAUCAAUGGCACAGCAAAUUAUAAAGCUAAAUGGAGACCAAACAAUGUCAUGCUAAGCAGUUGAUAAUCAAUCAAUGGCACAGCAAAUUAUAAAACUAAUUGGAGACCAAGAAACGAUGCCAAUCUUUACCAAAAUAUCACCACACUCAUGCUACGUAGUUCAUCGCGUGCCAUAUGUAACAAAAGAUUAGUCUUCUCGCGAACCACGGGAGCGCCCAGCGGCCAGAAGAGCAAAGCUCAUUUUCAAAAGAGGGUCAAGCGAGAAAUUGUGCAUAUAGAAAACUGUAAAGAAAGCGAUCAUCGUCUACCAAUGGCACAGCAAAUUAUAAAACCAAGUGCAGACCAAAAGACGCGGAUUUUUACCAAAACAUCACCACAUUCAUGCUAGGCAGUCAAUCAUGUACCAAUGACAAGAGCAAAUUAUAAAACACGUUGGUGACCAAAUUGGACCAAAUGGUGUCGAUUUUUACCAAAAAUAUCAAGGGCAUUCAAGCCAGGCAGUUGAUCAUCUACCAAUGGGACUAGCAAAAUGUAAAACUGUUGGGAGACCAAAUCAUGUUGAUUUUACCAAAAAUAUCAAAAAAGCAUUCGUGCCAGGCAGUCGAUCAUCUACCAGUGGCACAGAAAAAUGUAAAACUCAUUGGAGACGAAAUCAUGUCCAUUUUACCGAAAUAUCGCGGGCAUUCAUGCCAGGCAGUCGAUCAUCUACCGAUGGCACAGCAAAAUGUAAAACUCACUGCAGACCAAAUCAUGUCGAUUCUACCGAAAUAUCAAGGGCAUUCAUUCUAGGCAGUCAAUCAUCUACCAGUGGCACAGCAAAAUGUAAACCUCGUUGGAGACCAAAUCAUGUCCAUUUGUUUUACUGAAAUAUCACGGGCAAUCAUGCCAGGCAGUGGAUCGUCUACCAAUGGCACAGCAAAAUGUAGAACUCACUGGAGACCAAACGAUGUUAAUUUUACGGAAAUAUCAAGGGCAUUCAAGCUACGCAGUUGAUCAUCUACCAAUGGCACACAGCAAAAUGUAAAACUCAUUGGAGACCAAAUCAUGUCGAUUUUUACCAAAAAUAUCAAGGGGCAUUCAUGCUAGGCAGUCAAUAAUCUAUCAAUGACAAAAGCAAAAUGUAAAACUGUUGGGAGACCAAAUCAUGUUGAUUUUACCAAAAAUAUCAAAAAAGCAUUCAUGCCAGGCAGCAAAAUGUAAAACUGUUGGAUGCCAAAUCAUGUCCAUUUUACCGAAAUAUUAAAAAAGCAUUCAUGCCAGGCAGUGGGUCAUCUACCAAUGGCACAGCAGCGAAACGCAAAACUGUUGGAGACCAAAUCAUGUCGAUUUUACCAAAAAUAUCAAAAAGGAAUUCAAGCCAGGCAGUGGAUCAUCUGCCAGUGGCACAGAAAAAAUGUAAAACUCAUUGGAUGCCCAAAUCAUGUCCANN
rnacentral:lncRNA from 1 species